rnacentral:rRNA from 1 species
CCUACGGGAGGCAGCAGUGGGGAAUUUUGGACAAUGGGCGAAAGCCUGAUCCAGCCAUUCCGCGUGCAGGAUGAAGGCCCUCGGGUUGUAAACUGCUUUUGUACAGAACGAAAAGGUUUCUACUAAUACUAGGAGCUCAUGACGGUACUGUAAGAAUAAGCACCGGCUAACUACGUGCCAGCAGCCGCGGUAAUACGUAGGGUGCAAGCGUUAAUCGGAAUUACUGGGCGUAAAGCGUGCGCAGGCGGUUAUAUAAGUCAGAUGUGAAAUCCCCGGGCUCAACCUGGGAACUGCAUUUGAGACUGUAUAGCUAGAGUACGGUAGAGGGGGAUGGAAUUCCGCGUGUAGCAGUGAAAUGCGUAGAUAUGCGGAGGAACACCGAUGGCGAAGGCAAUCCCCUGGACCUGUACUGACGCUCAUGCACGAAAGCGUGGGGAGCAAACAGGAUUAGAUACCCUGGUAGUCCACGCCCUAAACGAUGUCAACUGGUUGUUGGGUCUUAACUGACUCAGUAACGAAGCUAACGCGUGAAGUUGACCGCCUGGGGAGUACGGCCGCAAGGUUGAAACGUCAAAUGAAUUGACGG